CACAUGAUUUGCAUUAAAGGGAGCCUGCUCCUUCCAGCUGGACACAGCGCUCAUGCUACCUGUGAAUUGGGUAUUAUCCCAGAUUUGCUCUGGCAGGUGAGAUGUGGCUUUCAGCUGGCCAAGACCACUCAGUUGCUUCUCUUUCCUGCAUAUGCUCUUUAUAUCAUCCUAAUUUGUAUCCUUAUUUCAUUUGGCAGAUUUCUCCUUAUUUCUUCCCCUUUACUUUUUUUGAUUUAUGUCUCACUGAAUUUAUAACAGCCUCCCAGACACUUGGGAUUCAGAUGAGGACAACCUGUACAACUUUUGUUGUAUUUUCUUUGAACACUGAUGCUUUAUAAAUGUCACUGACUGUUGGAAAAGUCUCAAAUAUUCAAAUCUUCAAAGACACGCUGUUACAAAUUUUAUAACACUUUUAGUUCAUCGUGGUUAUUUUGAUCGGAUGAAAAUGUGUUCAACUCCACUUACAAAAGGAUACCAACAGAAUUAAUUUCAGGCUUUUGUACCAAGAUAUACUUCUACAUGCCUGUUUAAAGCCAAUGACUUUGAACUCGGGUCCAUUUGCCCUCAUGAGAACUCCCUUAAUCCAGUGCUUCCCAGUUUAGGAGCAUGUAGCUGCAACACAGAAGCUCUGCUCAUUAGAAUUAGAGACAUUAGUUACGACCAAAGGAACUCUAUUUCACGCACAUCUCCCCAACGGACUAAAUGAAGCUUUGCAAAUCCUCCACAGCUUUUAAUAGCUGCCACUAAUAUUACAGGUCACAAACGAUUGCACCCUCAGACUCAGAUUUGGCUGAUCAAACACAGGCUGAGAUUAUCAGUGUUAUUUACGCUUGUGUAUCACUCUGGCAUAAACACGCACUUAUGGAAAUGUGAUCCCUCUACAGUAAUGCAUUUUGUAAUGAUUUAUGCUAGAACGAUUCAUGAGAAAUAUGGCAGCACACGCCGGAUCAGCCCACAAUCCAGUGUUGUUUUUGCACUAUGCGUUAUUCUCCCCUUGUGUUCGCAGCGUUGACGGAGAAUUCUCAUUUGAAAAUGUGCACAUCUGUACGUAGAGUAAAGUCACAAAGCCUCAGUUUGGAAAAAAAGAAGAGCGGCCUGCACUGAAACACAGUGGUUCCACCUUUACAAAUCAAUUAUCAAGUCUGAAGUAAAUAAUAUGAUGCAUGUCUAAUUACCCAACAAUCCAGGAGCUUUUGGCGGCCUUGCCAAGGAGGAAUGGAGCUAACACAUGUAUUACCUCUCAAACAAAUACAUAUACACAGCCUAAACAUGCAUAAUUGUGUCAGCACCCAUGUACACACCAAGAAAACACACAACUCAAAUAAAUAUGCAGUCACAGGUACUCAAUGCAUCGACCAAUUAAAAUAAGGGAUUACUAUGUUGACUGCAUGUAUGCCUCUGUGUGUAAAUGUGUGUGUGUGUGUGUGGGCAUUGCUGCCGCGCACACAGGCAAGCAGGCAAGCAGGCAGGCAGGCCUCACAUUGCCCACAGCUACUCGGUAAGGAUUCCCGAUAAGGAGAAUUAGUCAAAACUUGGGAGCUGCCAGUCAGCGCCAAUUAAACUUUAAUCUUGGGCUGAAACAGGCACAAAUAAAUUAAACCCUUGUGAGCGGCAAUGUGCGCUCUCCUGAUAAUAGGGGAUUGAAGUCGUCUUGGAGCGAGGCUGCAUGUUCCUCAGCUCAGCCAUGGCAGGCAGCAAUGCAGGGGGAACAAGGGUAAGGCUGGUGACAGAGUGAACUGAAAGGAACUCUCAAAGUUGACAAAAGCAGAGACAGAGAGACGCACAAACAGGAAAGGAAUCUUGGAUACUGGACUGCAAAAAAAAAAAAAAAAAAAAAAUUGCAGGUUGCGUGUAAAAAAUGUAAUCUUUUUUUUUAUGUAAAAAAAAUGCAAAAAUGUUCAUCAUGUAAAUAUUGUUUCUGCUUUUGCAUUCACAUAGUUCAUACAUCUAUGCAAAUAUCAAUAGACAUCCACACACCUUUUCCACGGUCCAUGCCUGAAUACAUCAUCUUUUGUAGGAAUGCCAUCCAGGCGUGCAAUUGACCUCCACUUUUUUCAUAAUAAACUCUGCAUAAACCCAGUCAAUUAUUGUAAAUGUCUUUGGAUAAUCUUGGGGUGGAAUCAUAUUGGACCUUGCUGUGUGUGCUGGAAUUUGAUAACAAAACUGACAUGACGCUUCCGGUGCCAAGUGGAAAUGAUAUUUUCAAUCACGCUCAGGCGUGGAAAACAAAGUACAAGUAUCAACCAAUAUAAUAUUAACUAUGACCAAUGAUCUACCCUUCAUAUCAGGCAGAGGGAAUACUUUUAAUGUUGCAAUAUUCAAAAGUAUGGUUGUCUCCAUGCACACUGUGUAGAGGGGGAUAUUUCAUUAAUAUUUUUUAAUGAAUUAGCGCCCUUAUCUCUAUUUCCCGUGCCCGACCUGUGCUUGCCUGGUGUUUAAUUUCAAAGUAAUUUUCUUGCUAUAUGAGCAUGUGGUUUAUGUAUUAAUGUCAUGGGCCUCGUCAGCCACCGCCAUGAUUUAUUCCAGAGUGGUGGUCACAUACAUCCUAAUAUCUUAAAAAUAAGCCCCAGAGAAAUGCUGUAAUGAGAAAACAAUAACAUUAACAAUAUUAGCAACAAUAAUGAAAAUAAUUGCCGCUGUAGCAACAAUGGUAAUCACACAUAGAAAAUACCUCUGUGUUUGACCGAAUCGUACACAAUUAUCAUGCAUGUGUAUAUAAUAUAAUUAAUUCUAUGUCUGAGCCUCUUAGCCCGAGGCGAUCAGCAUAGAAUCAGUUUUGUAUGUAUAAUAGAUCAGAGCACAGUUCAUGAAUAAAACAAACGUGGGGAGUAUGCGGCAGUGACUGUGUAUGUUUGUCUUUGGACAGCAGAAUCAAAGUGAACAUGUAAUAUUGUGAUAAUCCAUACUUGAUGAAUUCAAGGGGCUGACUUGCCUUAGCUAAGUUCAGCUAAUUUCCAGACAUGGCUUGCCUCCAUAAUUGAGUUUCCAAUAACAUUAUGAUUAUUCCAGCCCACAUGAUAAUUGAAUUCAAGGUAUUUUUUUCUUAACACUGCAAUAUUGUAGAUCUGUGAUUAUUAUGCAUUUGCAUGUAGAUUUCAGCGCCUUCCUGAAACUCAUCACUUUCCUCCUAACUGGAUUUCCUAUAUUGUAGCAUACAUUUGGCUCAUAACAAAUGACGGGAUCUCCUCUCGUUAUGAGCACUGAGUCAAUUAUUCCAAAAAGUUCAUUUUUAUAUCAAUUUUACCCCACAUAAUGAUAUUGCAAAGAAGAUUCUUCCCCCCCAAAAAAAGCCUCCAAAAAUCCACCCCGCACAGACCUGUUUCUCACUCUCAUUAUACGUGAAAAGUGAAUAUUUUUACUGUUGAACUCAUCAAAUUCACAUCACUGCCAACAUUCCUCCCGCGCUUCCAGUUUGAUCCUGCUUAAGAAAUGCUAUCAAACUUAGACACCCUGGCCCCCAACGCUCAUCUGUUGCAUAAUGUAGGCUGUAUAGGCAGGAGUGGCGCGGGUGUGAAUGUAAUUUUCAUUAGGCUCAUUGAGCCCCCACAGAUUCAGCCCAUGCAUAGGGGUACAGUGGGGGCACAGAGCAGAGCAGGGAGCCGGCUGCUGAAUAUGGGAGUGCUGCGGUGUUGUGUUCAGAAGCACAAUGCGCCAAAUCCCCUUUUCUGACAGCUCUGGGUGAGCUAGUUGGCAUCUUCUUUACCCUUUGAAAAUGAAUUUUUGACGUAGCAAAACUAAAAAGUUGAUGCAUACAUGCGCAGAAACAUAAAGUGGGAAAUUAUUUAGCAUGUAUCCCUGCAAUAAGCCAGCCUCAGUCUCACCCUGGAAAGCAAAAGAGCUGUUGUGUGUGGUGCUGAAAACCAUCACUGCAAGUUAACAGCAAGGGAUGUGUGGCGAGUCUGGGUUAGCGUAGCAUUCACCGCUCUGCCUAAGCCAUGCUAGCUGUCAGAUUGGGGGAAUGACUGGGCAACUAGUCGACGCUUUGAGCUACUGGGCACACACGGAUGGCUGUGAAUGGAUGCUCUAUCCAUUCUCCUCAUUUGGAGUAGCCACAGGGCCCGUGCAGCGAGGAUGGCACCAGCCAAGACAUUAUGCCAGAGUUUAGAUGUUGUUUUGCAUAAAUGUUGAAUCAUGCCAGAGUCCUUUUAGAGUGUAACAACAGCCUGCAUUGAUAUUGAUUUAAUGCUCACUAAUAUUUAAACUGCCCUGAGGGAUCGAUGCUGUUGAACAUGAUUUAAUAUGGCCUACUAGUGCAGAUAUAAAUACGGCCACAUCACACAGAAAAUCGAUUAUUUACUGUAGGAAAUCUAUAACUUUCUGCAGUAAGUUAUGUAUAAUAUUAGUGAAUAAAUGGCAAAGUUUAUGUGUUUUAUUAUAAAAGAAUGAUUUCAAUUAAAGUGACACCUUAAUUAAUUGUAAAAUAAUUGAGACUGAAAUAGAUUAGAAUAAAUAGAUGGAUAAAUAAAUCUCUAUUCUGGGCUGCGUUCAGAAAUUUUAAAACAUAUAGUGAUAAUUUAAUGGUCAUUAGGUAUAACAUGUGUUUCCUUUCAUUUAUUUUCUUUUUCAAAGAGGAUAUGCAUCAUUUUUGAAGUCAACUGCCCCCCGUGAUGAUGAUGAGGCAGGGGCAAAGAAAAGCCAGAAAUAAGUAGGAAAGAAAGGUUGCAACAACUUUUAACAAAACAUGACAUGCGAAUGAGGGCUGAGUCCUCAUUUACAUACGCUGACAUUUUGCGGAGAAUAUUUCAACGUUAGGCUGAGCUGUAAUGAACUCCUGCCAGGGAGCAGUCAAGGAAUAAUGUUUCCAUAAAGGUAACCUGUCCACAUCUCCUCCAGGAGAAAGAUGUGGAGGAGGAAAGAGACAUUUUUCCUCUCUCUCUCUCUCCUUCUCUCUCUCUCUUUCUCUUCCCUAGUGUUGGCUGUUUGGUAACAAAGGGGUAUUUUUCUUUCAGCCUGCUUCAUCCAUCUUGGCCCGUACUGAUUUAGUGUAUUUUUCCAGCCUUUUUACAGGCUAAUUGCACACGGCGAUGGUGAAUUUGUUAGUGGUGACACCUUGCCUACCCAUUGGGAAUGCAUCUCAUUACCGGACACAAUGUCCAGGAACAUCAGAUAUUAUUAGCUGUCAUUAAUCUGCCAUACAUAGUGAGGGGGAGAAUGGGGGGCGAGAAGGGCAACAAAGGACACAAAGAGACAAAUAUGAAGGCUGGCGAAACUGUGCGGGAAGGUCAAAGGUCACAGAGGUUAGAAAGAACCCAGGUGGACGAAGCGGGGUGGAGAUUAUGAAGGAUGAUAUUUGGAUGGAGUCUGAAAGUGGGAGCAGGCCAAAAGAUAAUUUUAACCUACGACUGACUAGACACCCCACAAAAACAACUUAUUUUAUUUCCCUUAUUUUGCAAAUUCAUAACUCCAACAAUUUAUGUAAAAAGAAAAAAAUGCAAAUGAGGAAAAAAGGGUGAGUUUGGAAAGUAAAAGCAACCACACUAAUCAUAUUUCUCUCUGCUUGUUUUUCAGGUGGAAGACAAAUAAAGCUCAUAUCUGGGGUGGUAAAGGCCUACAUCCAGGAAUUAAAGGGUAAAUCUUAAAAAUCGUUUUCUAUGAUAAUAAAAUAUAAUCACUUUGAUUUGAUCUAAUUUUAUUCUAAGAUUUUAAUAAAAAUCAUUAUCAAAGUUUUUUUUUUUUUUUAAUUUUGUUACAUGUUUUUAGUAGGUUUAGGUGUUUUAAUCGAUUUUACAAAACCAAAUGAAUUUAUAAAUUAAAGGUUCUUUCUCAAAUUUCCCUCUUCCCCUCUAACAGCGUUGGACUUGCUUUCAGUGUUUUGUUUUUGUAAACAGAUCAACUCUUGGGUCUGUGUACGUCAUGUUUCAAACUGUGUUUUGUUCUCAAAUCCCGUUUGACUCAAAUGAAUAUGACAACCCUAAACUCGAUUUCCAGAAGAAAUGCAUUCUCUUUCAUUGGGACCUGAUUGUUGCCCAAAAGAGAGUGUGUGUGUUUUUUUUCCACACAUAUGUUUAAUUUGAUACAGCAUCUUUGGCUGUUUUUCCUGUACAGCCCCGCCUGAAGACUGCUACAUGCAUACUAGAUAGGAUUACACCUUCUAAGCAGAUUUUGUUGUGGAAGGGUUAACACAGAUCCCCCUGCUCUGCUGAACAAACAGGACACCAUCUGAAGACACAGGAACUAACUGGGCUCUCAUUAGGAGAAUUUUUCUUCUCGUGAGGUGAUGGAGGGGGGGGCUAGGUCCUGCUUUUUUGUAGAAGAGGCACGUUGCGGCCUCCUGCCGCGUCGCCUGGCUCCUUCAGUGGGAUGGAGUAUAUGGCCUAAUGACUAAAAGUUCCUCUAUAAAAAGUAUACAGCGCAGCUCCCUGCAAAUUGAGUUUCCUCUUUGUGCCAAUUGAGGGUGGUUUAUAUAGGCUGCGGGGAGUUCCUUUGAACUCUCAUUCCAAAAAACUCCAGAUUCCUGGGUCAAUCCCCCCUACUCCUUCCCUUCUUCUCUCCCACCAAUGGCUGAGAUAGAGGAAGAGGAGGCCGCUGUCUCAGACACCCAAAUUCAUGCCACAUUGCACAUAACAGGCUCUCCAGACAGAAUGAGCGAGGGGAAAGAAAACACAACUCAAAAUGAGGUUAAGAUGGCAUGAAGCAGGUGUUUCUCUUCUCCUUUAUUGGUAAUAAAUGAGUUUGUAAAUUGGACUUUAUUGGAUUCAACUUUCUAAUGGUGUUUACAUAAGGCCAAGGUAGCAUAAAGUCAGUCGAAACUGUAGCUCUUUCUUUAUUUAAAGUGGCGUCUUUAUAGAGGGCCGAUCAGCAUUCUUCAGGGUCUUUAUUAGUGAACGUUGUGAGACCUUUGAUAUUAUUAGCAGACACAGACAAACGCUGCAAACAUUUGGACAUCAGGGAUUCUACCAGGAACUCGAACCAGUCUUGACAAGUGUAAAAAAGUUGUAAUUUUUCUCUCGUUUUAAAUGGAAACAUCUAAACAAAUUUUCAGGUGCGUUUUAAAGUUAUUUAAGUUAUGUCAACACCUGGAUUAAUUUUUUUAAACUUGUUAAAAACACACUUUCUCCAAAAAGUCUCCCCUUGUUUAAGUUUCCACCAUACAUGUUUGUGUUUUGAGGAUAAAAAACAACAACUACAAAUUAAGAAGGCCUGCUUGCAAAUAAGAAUAUGCCAAGAGGUACUCGCUGUCUGUCUUUUGUCCUCAGCUAUCUUUAUUGCCAAAAGCGAAUGUUGGCGGCAUCCCAUGUGGAAGCGAAGGGGGCCUGGAUGCCCAGGACUCAGCCAAGUGGCAGCGAUUGUUUUCCAUGUCGGGGGCAUGAAAGCUGGGCUCGUUCUACACUAAUCAAAACCCCCAAAAAGGUCUAAGCAUAAAUCCCAACACUUCUUCUGCUUCUUCUUCUUCUUCUUCCUUUCUCCCCCACCCCAUCAUCUUCACAAUUAUGCACACAUAUUGCCAUAAAUCUAAUGCGCUUUCAUGAUCUGUGGGAGCGGAGUACAUAAAACGUGUUUGCCGGAUUUGCAUACAAACAUACUUAUUCUAAAUCCCCCUCAGAAGUUGUAAAUGAUUGUCUUUUCCUGAAAUACAUCUCAGCAAAUUGUAUUUGGGCAUGUUUAUGAAUCCUAUUAUGGCAUGGGUUUUAUCAUAUUUUGUGGACAGUGAUGGCUUCUCAGCGUAGCUGUUAAGAAGAGGGAGAGAGGGGCCUUGGGCGAUAGACUAUGUCAUUUGUUUCAGAUGGGCGCUGGAUUCCCCUUCAUUGCUCCAUGACAGGUUCACGGUACCAAGAUGGAUCUUUGCUAAGUCCUUGCAUGGGGAGUAAUUCAGUAACUACUGUCUACUGAGUGAGAGGGGGUGCGUUCAGUGUUCAUUUGAGUUUUUAACACAACACUUUAGAUCGGGUUAUUGUGAUCUUAACAUGCUGCAGCAACAGCAGCACAUUCCCCCCGAUUGAAGUCUUGGCUUUUUUCUCUGUUUUUAUUUCUACACCAUGUAAACGCAGUGACAUAAUGGAGUGGGAUGGUUCUUAAUAAGGCCACAGUAGAGCAGGAUUUAUCAUGAGCUGGAGAGCUGCUGGGCAGGGAAGAGGAAGAGGACUUAGUUUGAGGUGUCUGAGAGGCCUGGGAUACCAAAGACGGAUUAUAAUAUCUUUAUGUGCCGGCCUCCCUCUAGCAACUCAAAUCCAAGGUAAACCACUGACUGCAUCCAAACCAACAGAAAAGCCAGGUUAAGCUUUUCUUUCUAUUUCUGUCUUUUUAAAAAGUUGAAUCCAUUAAAGUCAAUCAUUUUCUAUAUUUUUUGUCUACAAUAUUAUUUACGUUUCCUGGAGAGGCAGCGGAGCUUAUAGACUUCAGUCAGAAUCAGCCAUUAAUUGGUGGGACAAGCUGCUGAGUGGGAAGGUCAUAAACAUUUCAAGAGUUAUAAAACUUUCAUUAAGUUCUCACGAUAACGCGCCAGUGAAUGACCCUGUUGCUCUCUCCCUCUCCUUUUUUGUCCGGGUGGCGUUGAAGAGGGGAAUGAUUGCGAACAAGCGGCCUCUUUGUGGCGGAGGGAGCCUUUUUCAAACUGUCUCGGCCUCUUGACUCGUCCUAAGCCAGAGAUCAGAGCUUGGAAAGUGGCAAAACAAAGGGCCGAUUUAAUGAGAUUGUAAAACAGGCUGAGGAAAAAGAGGGGGUUACCAAAUAGCCAGACUGGCAGCUCUGGUCCGUUUCAAAAGGUCUUUUCAGGAUCUCCUCUAAGCCGCCUCAAUAUGAGCAAGUGGAGAAAAAAAAAAUCAAAGGACUCCAAACGCUCUGACAGAUUUUGACAUGAGGAAGAUGUGGAUAUUUGUCUUCUGUUUUCCACACAAAAGGGUUGCAUUCCUGAAAAAAAAUCUUCUUGCACGUUUAGCGUGUCGGACAAACCCUCUGGGAUUAAAGUGCUUUGAUUUUAUUGUUGAAAUGAAAGAUGUAAUUUCAAACUGCAGAUAGUCAAACUUAAAUUGCUGCAAUUAUUUUCUAAUUGAUAAGCAAUUAAAAUAAAAAUGUUGAGAAUGAUGUUGACAGAAAAAAAAAAGAAAUAAGUCAGUAAAAGAAAUCAAUUACACCCCAAACAAACACAUCUCAGAUUCAGAUCAGCGCGUUUGGCAAAGGACUAAUUUGGGUGAGGAGAAUAAAAAUGAAGUCUGGGUUGUGAUCUUAAAAUAAUUAAAUAAAUAAACCCACCAAUUAUGAGAGUCAUAAGGCGGGCCUUCUGCUUGUUUACACACACGCCCCAUAAAUAGUACUGGCACAGAUCACAAAAGGAAACAACACAGCCACUCUUGUCCCAGGCUUCAGAGCUGCCAUCAUCACAUUUAUCUCGAUACAUCUGUCACGUAUCUUCUCCCCCAAAAAUCUCAGUGGAAUUAGAGCGUUUAACCCCUCCUCAGUUAUCAUUAGAGCUGCUGAUGGGGGUGGGAGGUGGGGGUUGAUAGAGGGGAUGGAAGGAGGGGCAAGGGGAGGAGAGGAAUGAAAACAAGCCAGAGUUGAGGAGAUAACCAUCAGGGCCCUAAACCCAUUAUCUGGCCCCUGUCCACUGCUGAGUGUCAGGAGUCACACCCAGGUCUGAGUUAGCCUGGAGCUGUUGACCUGAUGCUCUCUGCUGACAUUUCCAUUCAGAUGAAUGGCUCUUCACUGCAUGCUAGGAAGUGUCCAGUUUGACCCUUACCUGCCCCAAGAUUCCCUCCCUUAUUAGCCGGGCUGUGGCCCUCUGUCUAACCUGUAUUCUAUUGCCUGUCCCCUGUCCCCUUCCUGUCUCCGAGGCUCUGAAGGCUGAGCCGUCUUCAGUAAUAAUGGAGGACAAAUGAAGCCAGACAGCCCUAAUGGUGCAGGGUUUUUUUUAAUGACACCGAGCUUUUGUGCUCUUUUCAUUUAGACAAGGAGUGAGAGAUGAGGAGGAAAAAGUGCCAGAGCCGUGCGACAGUAAAAGCCCGGCAAGCGGCGUGCCCUCGUUUUGAGGUUAUAGGACGCAGUUAAGUUCCUUCCGAGACACAGGCAGGCGUGUCAGUAAUGGGCUCGUCAGGGGAACCGCGCCGUACACAGCUGUUUCUUUUAUGUUCUUUAAUUUGCUCCGAGGAGAAAAUAAAGCAAGUGAGUGUGUCUUUAAGGAGGCCCGUGGACUUGAGAGACCGAAUACCAAAAGGACCUUCAUAGGUGCACUGUAGUUAACCAAUGUAAUUAGCAGGAACACAAGUAAUCAGUCCAGGGAAGUGUGUCAUUAAAUGGCAUCCCCCCAUGAUUAAUUUGCCUCUCGUAAGAACGAAAUGAACCUUCUCUGUGUCCUUAAUGACCCUGGUUAAUCUUUUAAAGAAACAGGGAGAGGAGACAGAGAGAGGGAGAUAAGGAGAGAAACUCUCAGAGUGAGGAACUAUGUGACACGAGCAGUUCAAAAAAGUGUGGGAAGUUUUGAACCUGAACUAUAAAACGCCAAAUCAGGUUCUUAAGAGUGGCUAAGGAGCAACAGACACAUAAAGAGAUAGUACACUCAGUCAGUAUGUUUACAUGACGCUCGAGAAAACCGAAUUAUUGCCUCACUCUGAUUAAGACCAGACAACCAAAGUGUAUGUAAACACCUUAGACCGACUAUAAUCAAAGUUUGAACUCUAAUUAAGUCACCCAGAUAAUGCGAUUGGAAUUCAAUUUUCUCUACCAUGUAACCAGCGUAGUUGGAAUAUGAUCGGACAAUGCAUGUGCAAGUGCGCCACGCCCCUGUAACCCCAGAACAAAAAUACGAGAGAGAAGGAAUAGCGUGCAUCUCAUCUGCAGAAAAGGUUGCAUAUAUGUUAUGUACGACAAAAACAACGCUUUACCAUGCUCCAUCUUUUCGUUCAAAAAUGCCCAGCGGCAGUUGUAGCCACUUCUGAUGUCGCUGAAAAGACCCAUAUCGCCCCCUGGUUUUGGGGAGGAAGACACGUUCACGUCAAUAAUUAAAUUUUCUCAGCUGCAUGUAUACGCGGACAAGGAGUGAAGUCUGAUUCAGCGAAAAAAUGAAUUAUGAGCUUAGUCCUAUUAAGCUGUGCAUGUAAACCCGCUGACUGAUCUUUCAGGUUUGUUAAAUCCCUUUUAGAGGCGUUAAAGAGCAGAGGCAGCACAUGGUCCCCAGCAUCUGACACCAUGCUCUCUAAAGUGGAGGUAGCAAAGAGAUUAGUGAAAUGAAAAGAGGCCCUAUUAUGAGCCCUGUUGCAUUAUUAAAUACACCUCUACUAAAUUCAGUCUUCGCUGGAGUACAUAUUUGUCUUGGUAAUUUUUCUUAAGCCGUGAUAAAGCUGAAUUAACCGUUUGAAUUAAUCAUGGGAAUUAAGGCUUUGAUACCAGGCCGGGGCCCUUACGUCCAGCCAGCUGCAUUGGCCGGGGACCCGCCUGCUUAACACCAGAAGUGCCAAGCAUAUGCUAGCAGGGAGGAGGAGGGCGGAUAGGGAGGCCUGGGUGGGCAGGGAGGAGGUCCCUGUGGAGCCCUUCACAAUGAAACACAAUAUCCUCCUCCUCAGACGCGUGCAAUGACUUAAACACUCCAUUGUAUUAAAUAUGAAUGAGGUUCCCCAUUGUCCAGGCGCAGGCGAGCGGGGAGACAGUGUUGUCGAUUAGCCACAUGAUUAAGCAGACGACACGGUAGGGGCCACAGAGGUAAAUAAAGGCCGCCUUCUGUCAUUUCCUUGUCCCCAAGGGGCCCCUGCUGAUGGCUCCUCACAAAACUUAGCACGGUUAAAGCCAAUUGACAGAAAAAGUGAUAAUGUAUGAGUGUGAAAACAGCUGAGUGAUAGAAAGGAGGGAGGAAGAUUUACAAACCAGGAAGUGGGGAGAGAAACGAAAGAUUUGAAAGGGAUGAAGUGAGAGCGAUGAUGAAUGAAGGGAUGAAAAAGGGAGGAGAGAUAUCGCAGAAAGAGGAGGUUGGAAAAGGCUUUGAUUGAACAGGCAGGGUAAUUCAGUCAUGCUCCAUGUCAGGUGUUUAUUAUCACAUUGCAGCAUUUGCAUGUGAAAAAGACACUUGCGCUUGCUUCGCCCGGCCCUCUCUCCUGAUUUCUCAUUGGCUGACAAGGCAUCUGGGCUACUGUUGCAAAUCCCCCCCCCCCCUGUUAGGAGCGCGUGAACCCAGUCAUGGCUAUUCACAGAGGGCCCAAUAUGUCAAACGGUUAUUAUUAGCUGCAUUAGACAAGAAAACAAAUAGAGGCGGAGAGGCUCGUAAUGAAAGGCGAUAGAUUGUUUUAAUCAAUUCUCUCCAUUAAUCAAUUUGGAGCAAUACAUCAAAGACACAAUCCUAGUUGAUAUCAUUGAUGAGCCACAAAUAUUAUUGCUAUUUACAGCUUAUAAUCACAUUUAGUCAUUACAGUUUUAUAUGACGGAAACUCUUCUACUCGUUCUUUUAUUGAAGCCACAACUUAAGCACUAUUUAGGCCACAGUGUGAGACUUUAAAUGUACAAAUAUAGUAAAUUAUUCUUUGUUAAAACUACUCAAAUGAAAACAUGAAUUAAUUUAAACUUAAGACAAUAUACGUUUAUAAAAGAGGAACCCUGUGUGUUUAAAACUAGCACCAAACUUUCACUUUCUGCCCUCUUUACCUUGAAUCCCCAUGUGGUUUUAAUUCUGUCUUUCAGGGAUUUCCAUCACAUUCCUGUAACUAUGAUCUCUCCCACAUUAAUGAUAUCAAGCGGCUUACCUCAGCUAACAAUCUCGCAGCCCCCCACCACCUCUCCUCCUCUGCCCCCCCCUCCCAUCCCGUCGCGGGACAUUCAGGUAACUAAUCUGCCUUUAAAUAUGUCUUGAAGGAAGCGCGGCUAAUUAGUAUCGGAAUUUACUGCCUUCACUUUUAUUGACUUGUCCUACUUCUCCGAUAAUUAACUAAUGAGUAAAGUAAUGAGCUAUGUCGUUCAGUCGUGCUGUUCAAUUAGAGAGCGGAAUCAAUUAUUGAAAAUGGUUUCUGAUGCCAACGCCGCCUGGUAUGGUGAGUGGGAGAGAGACGGAGACAGACAGAGAAGGGCAGGGAGGGGACACUGUUGAUCUGACCAACAUGGAGGAACUUCAAAAUGUCUCUUGAAUGACUAAAAUCAGCUUUAAAUUCACGUGCAUGCAUCACUUUGGAGACAGGAAGUAAUUGUGCAAAACAGUAACCUUGCCAAGCCCUUUUUUUCAUCAUAAUGUUAUCGCCUGUUACAUGAUGAAUGUGCAACACACUGAUGAUAAAACAUGAACAACCAGCAGGCGAACGCAACACAAAACCCAACACAAGCCUCAACGCAAAACCCAGCGGAGCAGAGAUGAGUUCCCACAGUAAACAAUGUGUCAUUGAGGUAUUUCCAAGCUUAACGAAAACAUUGGGUUCAUUAUAGAAAAUUAAUUAGAGAAUCACACUCCCAAGUGUUUUGGCUGAUAAUGAACUCUCUAUCUUGUCAGGCCAAUUGAGUCUGACGCUCUUUGAUAAUUAUGUUUACAUCAAAAUCAAUGUCCCCUGUGAUUAAAAACGCAAGAUUUUUACUAUGUGGUUCAAUUUCAUGAUGGAAAAAAAAAAGAUGCUCACGUUUUAUUAUGACUUUUUCUCCAAGUUUUUAAAUUUGAAUUGUGAUGCAAAAUCUUUUUAAGGGCUUUUCAGAAAACAAUUCUCUUCAUUUAUAUUUUUGUACUGGGAGGAAAAGAAGGUGAAGUCACAGAUUUUGAUGCUCCAAUCAGAAUCAAGCAGAUUGAAUUAUGAUAUGAUGAUCGUGUCGUAGCUGCAAUUUAUUUCUUAACUUAACAGUUUUUUCUGCACCGUAAAAUGUGAUUUUGACUGUUAUCUUAACAUAUUAUCCUGUAUCAGUAGGACAUGUGAUGACUGCAGUUGUCAUAAUAACAUGAAAUUAAUUGUUAAAAAGUCUCAACUACAAAAUAAAUGCUAAAUUGAAAAUCCAGGUCCACCUGAAUUAGUAAUUUCUGUCCACUUGACUUUGAAGACAGUGCCGGGAUUAAAACGCCUGCGUCAUCACGUUUUUGUGAGUUGCAAUGCAUUAUGGGCAGCUGCGCGGGUCGAUACUCAUGUGCUCGAUCCCUCCCAUCUCCCUUUUUUAGACAUGACCUGGAGGCGAUCAUCCACGGCAUUUUGUUUUAGACUUGACACAAUUUUAACAUAUACUUUGCCCGGUGAAUUUAGGAAUCAUUCUGACAACACCGCAGACAGUGAUUGGCGGAGCAAGGGAAAAAUGAUUGGCGACAUUUUUGGUGAGUUUUCUUUUGUUUUUCCGACAGUUUAGGAAUAUUUUGUGGUGGUUUAACAAGCUAACUUUAAGUAAGCUAACAUUCGUCUUUGACAGAAAAAAACUAAACCAGAAACUUGAAUUCAGAAGGUGUACAAUUGUAUUUUUCUGUUUGAUAAUUAAAGUAAGUGUACGGAUAUUUCAUUUCUUGACGUUGCGUAAGUUUAUAUUUAUUUAUUAGACUAUUGGUAAUUAAGUUGUGAAAGCUAAUGUUAACAAGCAGGGUCGGAUGCAGUGGAGAAAAAUUAAUGUGUCUAGUCAACUGUUUGUCUGAAAGUAAAAAGAAAGAAUUAAAAGCAUGUGUAUUAUAGGGAACUGUAAUUUUUUUUUUUACUGUAAAUGGACUUCUCUGAAACUUUCUCUCUCAUAGCGGUUUAAGGCAUUAAAAAGUACAAUGCAGAAAUCAUCAGUCUUGCUGUCAAUGGUCUUGUUUUCUUUGGUAGCUCAUAAAAAGGCAUCACAGUUAAUUUCAAUCUUCUUCAUAACCUUUAAAAACUCCUCACGGGAGCUUCAGCUCUUUUAGAAAAUUCAUUAUUUAUUCAGAAAAUGAAUUUCCCUGCACCACACAUAUGUUUUUUCAAUACAAUUUUAUGUCUUUCAGGGCCUGGGAAAGGAGAGCAGCAUCAGUUGAGUAAUGUUAUUGGAUGGUUUGAAACACUUGUGGGGUCAUGCUUGUGCUGGCUGCUGCAACUGCAGUGGCGGAAAGAUGAAUAAAGAUAGUUGGAGGAGCUCCCAGUUUUAUUCAUGGCUGAGUCAUUGCUUUUAAGAAAUGUCUACAUGAAGGUACAUGCAUGUGUGGUUUAUGAAAGAGAAAUGACACAGAUGGUGGGGCAUGCAUGUUACCAGUGUAUGCGCGUGUGCUGGUGGGUGUGUAAACUGCCUACACUCACCACCUGGCCCUCAACAGGUCCCACCUGACUUUGUUAUUGAAAAAUUGCACACCUUUAUUUUGUGCUUACUCAGUAGUUAAUUUAGUGUGAUGAAAUCAUAAAUUAAUGAGGUUUGCCAAACUUCUUAAGAAGGGCGAAAACUUGAGAAGGUGAGGCGAAGAAGGAUGUCCUGCGUAAAGUCAAAGGGGGUAGACGACAUGAGAAUCCCACCGCGGUGUUUUGGCGGUAUCAAUAUUCUAUUAAUAUUCACAAUGCCAGAGGUCCCGGCUGGUACGCCAGUCAGUGCUGAGUCGAUGUGACAGGCUCCCAGAAAGACGCUAAAGCCAAGGACAUUAAAUUCCCCCUGACAGCAACCUUGGAGACCGUCCCAGGCACGCGUCGCUUUGACUGUGGUAAAUCAGAGAAAUAAACUCAAAAGAACAUAAUGGAGUCGGCUCUCGUCAUUAUUAUGACAAGCAGGUUUAUUUAGUGUACACUUGGCUCUCCGUCUGCUCCUUAGUAUGAGUGUGUGUGUGUUUAUGUGUGUGCCUACGUGUGUAUAUGUUUUGUGAUUCCCUGGCUGGGCUCUAACAAGACAACCUGAGUGACUGUCAACUGUCAAAAAUUCCAGUUAGGCGACGCUGCCAACAGACUGUAGAUGGAGUAAACCCAGAGGAUUAAAAUCCACUCACACUCAUCAGCGGUAAAGAAACAUAGUAUGGCAAAAUGCAUUAAAGCAAACAGCACUUGAAGUGUUUACUCAUAGAUUAAAAAAAAAUAUACCAAAGUACAAUUUAUUUAGCAUUAGUGCAAUUAGUAGGAACAAAAUGUGGGCACACAAAACAUCAUAAUCUUUUUUUACAAAUAUAUUAUCAGUCAUUAAUCCGCUAUAUUUUGGGUAAAAGUGUAUAUAAUCUCGAUUUAUCAAAAAUAUUUUGGUUCACAAUUUCACAGCUAGUAUUUCUGGGAUGAGACACAGGUUUAACCUCUGGCCAUAUUCCCCCAGAUCCUCAAUGACGCAUUCCCUAUAAUUCCUCCUGUGGACUAUGGUAUGUAGAUUGUGCGCUAUAUGACUGCAGAGACGGGGAUAGCCCUCAGACACCCCUGCCAACUACACACAGUAUUUGUUCUUCUGAUUACAUCCACAAUAUGAGGAAUAAAACAACAGCUUAUGGCACUGCAGACAGCCUGCAGCGAGCUAUCUAGGGGCCCCUCUAUCAUCGUUGACUUCCAUUCCCCCUCCUUUAUAGAAGCCUUGGCCAAACCUUAUCACCAAUGCUCCCAUUUGAAUAGUAUUACAGACACGGCAGCCAGGGGAGAUGGAGAUGUCAUAAAAAAUUGUAUUGAUUUUUUUUUUUUUUGUUAGUUGUCGUCAUACAUUAAUAUCACAGAACAACUGUGCAGCUCCUGUUUUAAGCGUGGCUUUUGUGGAACGUGUCUCAGCUCUCCCCCCUCCUCCAAACAAUAUGUCGUAACAGAUUCUGGUGACGUUAUCUUUCCGGUACACCGUGACUGAUCCUUUUGCAUCUUGUCAAGCUUCUCUAAGAAAGGCCUUUUUGACAUGCAUAGCGACGCUGCAGCAGGAUUUGACGUUGCAUGAUGAUGAACACCAGACUUUUACUGAGGGUGACCUCCUCGUCCUGAGAACUGUGGAACAGAGGGUGAACCUGGGUGUCUGCAUGCAUGCAUGAUAUAUACCUGCAUAGAAACAUAAGUCUCAGUGUGCUUUGGUUUGCCGUGCCUGUGUGUGUGUCUGUGAGAGAGCUGUGAUGUUCUGUAAUGACAGAUUCACACCUUUACCAGACAGCACCAAUGUCCACACGCUUAGGCUGUUGUCCCCAUUGUCCCCACACGCCCAUCCGUGGGUUCCUCUCUUGAACUUGUCUGGCGUGAGCAGGUGACAAGGUCUCUGGAGGUGUGAGUGUGUGUGUUUACCUUUAACUCUCACAUUCUGUCAGGUGUCACUCACAUGGACUGGAUAGAGAUUGAGGUGGAAGUGAAAGGGGUGCAGUGUAAAAGAAAAUCAGUAUAUUUCAUUAAAGACAUGUUGUUUUCCAGGUUGUGUUUUUUUUCAUGUGCUCAACAAGUGAUUCUGUCUUUAUCUGCAUUUUUUUAAGAUAGUAUGGCUUUGUUUAGUCCUCAAGAAUCAAACCACCGACUGCCGAAUAAACUGCAAACUCGUAUUCUUCUAUAGUAUGACACAAAGUAAGCACUAUCUCUUACAUGUAUAUAUACUGCAAGCAAACACCUCCUCUUUCCUCCACCCAAUCAAAAGCUCAGCACAAAGUCGUGACACAAAGAGGCACCAACGAAGAAGUCAGCACAAAAAAAACAAAAAUCAGAAGGGGUCAGCAUAUGUCCGGUCAGCGUAGGACACCUCGUAAGACAACUGUCCCAACCAAGCAGAUUGGGUCUCUCCUACAGCUUCAGCACAGUGUGGCGUGCAGCUGUGUGUCUAUGCAUGUGGUGCGUUUUACUGUACAGUGUGUGUGUGCGCGCUCACCCGUGUCACGUACAAUACAACACAAGUGAAGAUAGGGCAGAAUAGCAGGAGAGCUGCAUGAGCAGAUUUGGGUGUUGCCCUCGGGGUGUGUUCUGUAGCCUCCAUAAGUAAUGACAUGACAGGCCUUGAACCCACAUUUUUUGGGAGCUUCAUUAUACUUCAGGUCCAGGUAAUGAGGUUAGAGUGUUAGUGCUGAAUUUUAUCAACCAGGAGCUUGUUUAAUUCAUAAAGAUUCUCUUGGCACACAGUGAGAGAGGAGUAGGAAGUCAGUGUUAGGAAUGCUAGCACACUUUAUUUAGCCUGAUUUCUCAUGAAGACAGUGAUAUCAACUCGCUUUUUGCUGGCUAUUCAUAAACAAUGAGUCUUAUACUCAGCAGAAAAACACAACAACUCAGGAUGGUGCCAAACUUACUGAGGGUUACACAUCUUUGAUGAACAGUAGAGGCUCUAGAAUGGAUCCCUGUGGGACACACUUACAGUGCCCAGCACAAGUCAGUACACGCCCUAUUAAAAGACAUGUAUUACCAAUAUCUAGAUGAGCAAAAGCACAAUUUCCACAGUUUUGACAAAGCUGAGUUUAACAUAACAUUUUAUUUAGAGUGACCAUAUUAUGCAUCUCCCAAAAGGGGUCACCACGACAUGGGGCGGAGUUGCAUGCGAAAUUUGGAAUGUUUUUUUUGCGCUUCUAACUCAGUUGAAAGAGGACGUGUCAGAGUAAAAGAGGACAUAUGGUCACCCUACCAUAAGAUGAAAAUAAGGGUGAUAUGGUAACUAAAAUUUAGCUUCGCUCCCAGAAAUUUGAUUGGGGUGUACUCAUUUUUGCAUCCUGAUUUUAAAUUGAAAAAAAAUACUUUUUUUGUAUGCAACUUAAAAAAUCUUGUUUACAAUAAAAGGCCUGCAUUUAGGAGGGUAUUUUGUUGUAUAGUUUGACAAAGGAAAUGUUGAUUUUGAAAGGAAACUAAAGGUUUUCUGACAACUCUAAAGGGGUGUACUCAUUUAUGCUGAGCACUGUAGAUAAGAUGUAAAACUUGUCUGUUUGGUUUAACUAUGUUUUAACUUAGGGAAAACAUGUCUGCUAUGUUGCAUCAAAUAUCAUAUUGUGUAUCAUGGACAACAGAAAAUAAAUAUGAGUAAUUCACACAAAUACCUGAACAUUUCACCACUAAAAACACAUGAAAAGUGAAGAUCUGUUGGGUUAUUCUCAAACUGGCAGUCGCAAAGUAUUGUCAUUAUCCUUGUAAUUAAAUCUGAGUCAUCAUUUUCUUCAGAGGCAUAGUUAAAAAAAACAACAACACCAGUGUCUGCAGCACAUCACAGUCAUAGAUGUGGUUCCCUAUUUGUUGUUUGUGUUCUGCCUCCUCCACAGCCACUGAUCCAUCCAAAGUUAAUCACUCCAAACAGCAUUACAAUUAGUGCAGUUUGGAGUCAAACAUCCAUCUCCUGGUCUAUCUAUCACCAUUUUUUUCUCUAUGUGGUAAUAUUCCCCAAUUAAAGCAUUAUUGUAGCCUACUUCAUCAAGGGCUAAAGUAAUCAAGAUUAAUCUCAGUGAGCUGACACGCGCUGUUUGCUAAGGAACACACAGAACAAUUGCUCUGGGCGAGCAUCAUUAGGAAAUGCAAUAAAAUUAGGCAAACUGAUUAUAUUUCAGAACUGGGGAGCAAAAUAAAAACACAAUUUGGGGAGGGCUUCAAUUAUGGUGGCUGCGCUUGCUUGUUUGAACAUCAGACAUUAAACCACUUUACAGUUGUGCUGCAUGGGCACAAGUUUGUGUCGCGGUUGUGUGUUCUCAUGAUGAACGGAGUUAGCGCCUCUCGAUGGGUGUGUGCUCUGUAAUUCUGUAGAUGGUUAAUGCAUGUGUGUAUUUUUAUUCAUGUGUUGGUGGGAGGAAGGUUAGUGUUGCUGGUGUUGCAGAGGAGGGGGCAGCCUGUAGCCACACAUAGGCUUCCAGCCAGCUAUUGACACUAACACGGACCUAGCCAACGGCUGCAGAAACCAUUUUAGGCUCUGUUGUCAAUUGGUAUCUAAUAGGGGUUAAGUGUUUUGAAUUCUGUCUUUUGAGGGAAAAAAAAAGCCACCGGAAGGCAAGUUUUCAUUUAAUUAUAGCUCAGUUGGGAGAUGGAAUAUAUGGGUUGUAUACUGUGUGUUUGAGGUGUAUUUUCCUAUUCAUGUGUAUGUGAUUUCCAUACUUCUUUUGCAUGUGUGAAGCUCUAUAGGUAAAGCACAUGUGCUUUGUUUAUUUAUUUGUUUCUGCCUUCAAUAGCUCGCCGACGAGGUAUACCAGGGCAAUCUAUUUAUGUCAUUCAUGGCCACUCAGUGGUGAACAAUACUCUGAAACACACACUGUGAUUUGCCGGUUAGCAGUGAAACCGUUUUAAAUGCUUAUUAAUCUUGCCUGAGGCCAAACUCUUCCUCCCCCUUCCCCAAAAUGAGAAAAUGAAUGAAAAUACAUGGAAAUAUGAAAAAUACCUUAUCUUAUCACCGUGUGGAGGUAAUAUUGUGUGAUCCCUCGCCGAAAUAACUCUGAACAUUCCAUGAAUAUAUUUUGAAUAUUCCCCUCCGCCUGCGUUUGAAUUGAUGUACAGCAGGGUGUGUAUGCUUUCAUGUUGUCUGUCCCGUGCCAGGAAUCACCGGGAUCACAACAUUUUCCCAAUCAACUCUGACAAGAAGGGCCACAUCCCAUUUAUUCAGAUCGGGUUCAGGAACACAAUGAAAUGGCUCUGUUGUUUUCUCCUCUAUAAACACAUUCUGGUAUCUCUCCCAUACCUCAGAUUACUGUACCUGGCAGGAGAUAGAAGCUAAACUGAACUGACUGACACAAGUGAUAACAAGCAGAGUGGAGGUUCUCUGUGGUUGAAUUCAAAACUUCCCUCAGGUGUGGUCCCUAUCACACCUGCUGUGUUUGUGUAUGCGUAUGUAAGACUUUCCUGCCAGUUUGCUGUAACUUUUAAGAUAGAAAGAAAGAAAAAAUACAGAGUUUAAUGGCAUGUUUGUCCAAAGUGCAAAGAGUUGAAUCCUCUCUUACUGGUCAGUUUUUCACCCACUGGAUAUCUCCCUUGAAUAUUGUAAUGGUCCAUUUAUUGGGGUCAAUUUGAUACUUGCUGGCCACAUAUGGAUGGGAACUCACCAAAUCAAUACAAUAACACUCACAUAUGCCACUGUGUGAUAUUCAUUGUUCCGAAAACAUAAUCAAUAUGCUCAUAAAAAAUCAGGACGACCUCUCGGUGCUCUGUGACCCUCUUGCUUCUGAUUAACCUUGUUCACAUUGCGCCACUGACCUGUGCCUAUAGAGUUUAUGAAUUAUAAAUGCUCUUCAUUAUCAUAGUCCAAUCGUUAAGGGGUAUCGUGGCAUGCAUGUAAGUGUUUUCUUUUUGUCCCAGCUGGGAUGAUUUUCUCCCACAUUGUUUUUCCACAGUUAUGAUAUGUGAUGUGUCCUCUCCUCCUCCUCCUCCUCCUUCUCCUCCUCUCUAUCUCUAUCUCCUCUCUGCAUAUCACCAGACCUCUGAGGAUGAGGCGAUAGAAAUCCGGGGCGAGAAGCAGAGAAACGGUUAACAAACUCUGCAAAUGAUUGAUGGGCUAAUUUCAAGCCCUGAAUAAAGCAGUUUCAGAAGUCUGUUGAUUCUCCAUUUAUUAGGUAAUAGAAACAUUUAUCAAAAAAGUCACAUUUUUUGCUUAAGCAAUAAUUGCAUUUUUAAGCCCUCAUUAGGUCUUCCAUGCAUACAUAAUCCAAUUGAAUAAAUACAGUGUUGGAGUGAAGAAUUAAUACCCUUCCUAUAGGGUAAACUGAAAGUUGGGGCUUCUGCAGCUUGACUCCCGUUCACAUGGGAGAGUGCUGAGAAAAUACUUUGAGGUAAAAGUGAAACUUAUUUUCUCGUAAACCCAAACACUUGCAGGGCUUAAUCUAAUAUUUACUAUUACUUUUCUUGUUGCAGGGGGUUUAAAGCACACGUAUUUUAGUUUUAAUAAUGGAGGAUAGCUCACUAAACAAACUUUCGCUCACCAAUGUUUGCUGAGUAGUAUGAAACUACUGUAAUAAAUCAAAGUUUUUAUUGAAUAUCUAAAGUUAAUGUUAGUGAAACUGACAAAAACUGCCAUUUUAGAGAUGAAAAGAAAUAAACAGAUUAAGUUAAAGCCCGGCCGUUGUAAAUAGGAGGUUUUUUUAUUGAUUUUGAAAUAGAAUCAAUCUUAUGCUGAUGCAAACACAGCAAAUGAGAUUAUCAGUUACAAGAGGGGUAAUUUUUUAAUACUGAAUUUUGGUACCAAUGUACAGUUUUUCAGCAAAAUAAUCAAAAUGAAAAUUUGCAUCUUUAUGUGGCGCACAUCUUAAAGUUUUAAACAACAUUUUUUUAAGUUUGUUGGUGGGAAACAGAUUAACGGGAGUUUGUUUUUGUUUUUUUAAAUGAUGUUUUUGAUAUUACAGAAGCAGGAAAAGCAAAAAGACGUACACUUUUUGCAGAAGUGAUAUUCUAUUAAAAGAAAUUCCACAACCAGAGCAAUACUGGGUAAAAGAGCAAAGCGGUUAUGAACAGGAAUGAUCAUUUUAAUCAGGAUGUUUAGCUCUGUCUACUUCAGAGGAGUUUAACAGCGUGCAUAUUCAUCUUAUUUGGACUUUUACUGAUGCAAUCUGGCAAAUCUGGUCACUUCUUGUAAGAUAACUAACUGUAGGCAAAGUUUGCAAAGUUUAGUGGUUGCUCUCUCAUUGCAAUUUUAUGUAACAACAAAUCAGAUGAGUAUUUACAUCUUGCAAAAGUUGUCAUGGAUUUCGCUCAUUAGCGUCCACAACAAAUGCAGAGUUGAGAAAAAAUGCCCGCUCCUCACAGUGCCUGUAACUGAGAAUGAACCCCAUUAUUAAGUGAUUUUAAGACCUUUUUAAGCAUUUGCAUCAAUAUUUGGCAAUGAUAAGAGGAGUGGAGUGGAGUUUUUGGUUCCAUUUAUCUGGAAUAGCUACACUUGCGCAUCAUUUCAAUCAAAGAUUUGACUUUCUGUACUGUCUGGCGACGGUCACAGGUUUUAUACUUAAUCUCCUACCAGCCUAUACUGUAUAGCUUUAGCAUUUUGCGUAUGUAGCCACAUCAAAACAGCAGUCAUGUCUUGUUACCUGGCAACGGUCCCACUAGCCGGCUAAGGCUUCUGUUCCAGCAGAGAGAGCCAGUUUUAAUCACCUAGCAAAUUUCCAGCACUGCAAACAGACAGGGCCUCAGCUUAAUCUUGUUAGCACGAUGAGGCCGUUUUCAGAUAUCAUUGCUAAUCAAAUCAUCCCAAAGGCUUUGAGCCCGGGUUUUUUUUGGUAGUACUGCUGGUGGUGGUGGUGGUGGUGGAUGCAGCAGAUGUGUGUGUGCAUUUAGGGGGGGGAGGUGAUGCAGCGGUUGUCUCUGUGUAUUUGUGUGAAUGCAUGUAUGUGUGCAUUCAGAGGGUGGGGGCUGUUUUGUGGUUUGAAACCCCAAAGAUGCAGGAAACACAGUAGGCCUUUGAUGAUCACCUUCCUCUGCAUUAACGCCACGUAAACAUCGUGUAUAGGCUACAUGCACACUCAUCAUCGAAACCAACACUCCCUCCCUGCCUUCUCCUUCAAACUCCUUCUUUCUCUUCAAUUUGAAAGGCUCCUCCACUUCUCCCAGAAGAUAACCUGCAUUUUUUUUCUUUAAUAGCCCAGAGCCACUCGCCAGCACCCAGAGAGACUCCCCAACCCAGG